AGCAGAAUUGCUGGAUUAUAUGGUAAGGGUAAGUCUAAUUUGUAAUAAACUGUCAAAUUGUCUUCUAAAGCAGCUGUACUGUUUUGCAUUCUUACUAGCAAU
rnacentral:pre_miRNA from 1 species